UAAAGAUGGAGUUGACCAAGUUGCUGACUUUGAGGAGAACUUGAAGAGCAGAAGAUGCAUUCCAUGACACUUAUAUGAUAUAGAAGACAAAGGAGAGCUCUUGAGAAUGGAAAAUAACCUGCGAGUUUUACAGUCAAUGAACACACCUCACGACACAAGUCCAUCCUGAUUCAGUAAACUGGUAGUCUAUUCUUCUAAGGACACACCAUGACUUUGUUAAGAUCAAGAUUUGGUGUCAGAAGACUAAUGUAACUAAAACAUUGCAAAAUUAACCUGCAAGUGUCUUAUGUGAGCCUACUGAAUAAGGAUUCAUUACUGAACAGUUGAAGGAAAAUCACUAUUAUAAUGAUUUUAAAAAAAAAAAAAAAAAGAUGAUUGUGUUGUUUGGAUAACAUUGUGAUUCAUGUUUGUUGAAUAAACAACUUUGCAAAAA